ensembl:misc_RNA Metazoa_SRP Metazoan signal recognition particle RNA
ACCAGGUGCGGUGGUGUGUGCCUGUAGUCCCAGCUACUUGGGAGGCUGAGGUGGGAGGAUCACUUUAGCCCAGGAGUUCUGGGCUGUAGUGCACUAUGCUGAUCGGUUGUCUGCACUAAGUUUGGCAUCAAUAUGGUGACCUCCAGGAAGCAGGGGACCACCAGGUUGCCUAAGGAGGGGUGAGCCGGCCCAGGUCAGAAACUGAGCAGGUCAAAACAACUCCCAUGCUUAUCAGUAGUGGGAUCGUGCCUGUGAAUAGCCACUGCACUCCAGCCUGGGCAACAUAGCGAGACCCUAUACCA